rnacentral:rRNA from 1 species
AGUUUGAUCCUGGCUCAGGACGAACGCUGGCGGCGGGCUUAACACAUGCAAGUCGCGGGAGAAGCGGCCCUUCGGGGCCGCGGAGACCGGCGGAUGGGUGAGUAAUGCGUAGGUAAUCUGCCUGUGGUACGGGGAUAACCCACCGAAAGGUGAGCUAAUACCCGAUGAUGCAGCGGCCCCGCAUGGGGACAGUUGUUAAAGGCCUCGGCCGACCACAGAUGAGCCUGCGUGCCAUUAGCUAGUUGGUAGGGUCAAAGCCUACCAAGGCGAUGAUGGCUAGGGGGUCUGAGAGGAUGAUCCCCCACACUGGGACUGAGACACGGCCCAGACUCCUACGGGAGGCAGCAGUGAGGAAUCUUGCGCAAUGGGGGCAACCCUGACGCAGCCACGCCGCGUGCUGGAAGACGGCCCUAUGGGUUGUAAACAGCUUUUACUGGGGAAGAACCCGGGCCUUUCGAGGCCCGCUGACGGUACCCAGUGAAUAAGCACCGGCUAACUCCGUGCCAGCAGCCGCGGUAAUACGGAGGGUGCAAGCGUUGUCCGGAAUCAUUGGGUGUAAAGGGUGUGCAGGCGGAAGUCUAAGUCGGAGGUGAAAUCUUGCCGCUUAACGGUAAAAGGGCCUUCGAAACUGGAUUUCUUGAGUUCGGAAGAGGUUGGUGGAAUUCGUGGUGUAGCGGUGAAAUGCAUAGAUAUCACGAAGAACACCGGUGGCGAAGGCGGCCAACUGGUCCGACACUGACGCUGAGACACGAGAGCGUGGGGAGCGAACAGGAUUAGAUACCCUGGUAGUCCACGCUGUAAACGAUGCAUGCUAGUUGUUGGUCCUUCGGGGCCAGUGACGCAGUUAACGCAGUAAGCAUGCCACCUGGGGAGUGCGGCCGCAAGGUUAAAACUCAAAUGAAUUGACGGGGGCCCGCACAAGCGGUGGAGCAUGUGGUUUAAUUCGAUGCAACGCGAAGAACCUUACCAGGUCUUGACAUCCCCGGAACUUGGCAGAGAUGCCUUGGUGCCUUCGGGAACCGGGUGACAGGUGCUGCAUGGCCGUCGUCAGCUCGUGUCGUGAGAUGUUGGGUUAAGUCCCGUAACGAGCGCAACCCUUGUCCUUAGUUGCCAGCACUUCGGGUGGGAACUCUAGGGAGACUGCCGGUGACAAACCGGAGGAAGGUGGGGACGACGUCAGGUCAUCAUGGCCCUUACGACCUGGGCUACACACGUGCUACAAUGGCUGGUACAGAGGGUCGCGAAGUCGCGAGGCGUAGCUAAUCCCUUAAAGCCAGUCGUAGUCCGGAUCGGAGUCUGCAACUCGACUUCGUGAAGUCGGAAUCGCUAGUAAUCGCGGAUCAGAAUGCCGCGGUGAAUACGUUCCCGGGCCUUGUACACACCGCCCGUCACACCAUGGGAGUGGAUUGCACCAGAAGUGGCUAGUCUAACUACGGAGGACGGUCACCACGGUGUGGUUCAUGACUGGGGUGAAGUCGUAACAAGGUAACCA